rnacentral:rRNA from 1 species
GAUGAACGCUGGCGGCGUGCUUAACACAUGCAAGUCGAACGGAAAGGCCCAAGCUUGCUUGGGUACUCGAGUGGCGAACGGGUGAGUAACACGUGGGUGAUCUGCCCUGCACUUCGGGAUAAGCCUGGGAAACUGGGUCUAAUACCGGAUAGGACGAUGGUUUGGAUGCCAUUGUGGAAAGAUUUUUCGGUUUGGGAUGAGCUCGCGGCCUAUCUGCUUGUUGGUGGGGUAUUUGCCUACCAAGGCGUCGAGGGGUAGCCGGCCUGAGAGGGUGUACGGCCACAUUGGGACCGAGGUACGGCCCAGACUCCUACGGGAGGCAGCAGUGGGGAAUAUUGAACAAUGGGCGCAAGCCUGAUGCAGCGACGCCGCGUGGGGGAUGACGGCCUUCGGGUUGUAAACUCCUUUCGCUAGGGACGAAGCGUUUUUGUGACGGUACCUGGAGAAGAAGCACCGGCUAACUACGUG